UACGGAGGAUGCGAGCGUUAUCCGGAUUUAUUGGGUUUAAAGGGUGCGUAGGCGGAGUGCCAAGUCAGCGGUAAAAAUUCGGGGCUCAACCCCGUCGUGCCGUUGAAACUGGCGCCCUUGAGUGGGCGAGAAGUAUGCGGAAUGCGUGGUGUAGCGGUGAAAUGCAUAGAUAUCACGCAGAACCCCGAUUGCGAAGGCAGCAUACCGGCGCCCGACUGACGCUGAAGCACGAAAGCAUGGGUAUCGAACAGG
rnacentral:rRNA from 1 species